rnacentral:lncRNA from 1 species
GUAUGUAUUGAUCCAUGUUUAUAUAUACUUACUAGUUCGUUUAGCAGCUCUAUACUACUGUUUGUAGUAUUGUAUGUUUUACAGGUACAGCUAUCGCUUCGUAUACAGAAAAUUUUUUUUUGUAUACGGCGGAUUUGUCGGCGUGCCCGGGGAACGUGAUAUCCGAGGCGUGACAGAUUAAGUUGGUAUCAGAGCUUAGCUGUAGGUCGUUGGGACCUAGGAACGCUAAGUUGGCAAACCGUAGGAAGGCAAGACGUGAGAGGCGUGAUUUAUCGCGAAAGUCAAUGAUU